rnacentral:rRNA from 3 species
CGACUCUCGGCAACGGAUAUCUCGGCUCUCGCAUCGAUGAAGAACGCAGCAAAAUGCGAUACUUGGUGUGAAUUGCAGAAUCCCGUGAACCAUCGAGUUUUUGAACGCAAGUUGCGCCCGAAGCUGUUAUGCUGAGGGCACGUCUGCCUGGGCGUCACG